GGAUCGAUGAUGACUCCCAAAACUCCAUGUCCCGGAAAAGCUGAACAAAAUGAGUGAGAGCUCACACUCCUCGUUCUCAUCGAGACUN
rnacentral:snoRNA from 1 species